GUGACCAUCUUUGAAACUGCAAUUCGCUCCUUCUACACCAAUCUCCACAUCAACUCGUCCAAAGCACAAAAUAAUCAAUCGGAAUCAAAAGCUGAAAAUCCGAAAAGAAUUUUUUUUUUUNNNNNNCAAACGGCGUCGUGUCAGCAAUGGAGAGGAGCUGCUUCAAACUAAAAAUCAAUGCACGUAAAACUUAUAAUAAUUUUUUAUAAAAUGAAAUCCUUGAACAGCAAUUAAGAUAGCAAAAAAAAAAAGUUCUGAUCGUAGAUAGUG
rnacentral:misc_RNA from 1 species